GACGAACGCUGGCGGCGUGCCUAACACAUGCAAGUCGAGCGGAGCGAAAUGGAAGCUUGCUUCUAUGGAGCUUAGUGGCGAACGGGUGAGUAACGCGUAAUCAACCUGCCCUUCAGAGGGGGACAACAGUUGGAAACGACUGCUAAUACCGCAUACGAUUCAACUUCGGCAUCGAGGAUGAAUGAAAGGUGGCCUCUAUUUAUAAGCUAUCGCUGAAGGGAGGGGAUUGCGUCUGAUUAGCUAGGUUGGAGGGGUAACGCCCAC
rnacentral:rRNA from 1 species